rnacentral:rRNA from 1 species
GGGAAAGUUGAAAAGAACUUUGAAGAGAGAGUUAAAAAGUACGUGAAACCUCUCGGGGGUAAGCGGGCAGAACUUGCAAGUAUUGACGGUAACAUUCAGGCUUGUUGUUGGCGGCUGAGGGUGUAAAUUAUGUUGUUCCUUCGGGGAUGGCUGUUGUGCGCCUUUUGUUCUGUUGACUACACGCCGCAUUUGUUGCUGUCUUCGGGUUGCAUGCGACUGAGGUUGGUAGUUUAGGUGCUGGGGUCCUGCAAAUCCUUGUGGUUUGAGCCCUGGUUUCCAACUACUCGUGCGGUCGUUGAAAGCGAGCAGGCGUUUAUCGCGGUCACCGGUUUUGACGAGUUGGGUGCAUGUGAUGUGUGGACGGGUAACCGUAGCAUGUUGUAUGUACUUGCUGUCAGUUAGAACUGUGUGGCACUGUUCAGUAUUG